GAUCAUACUGGAUAUAGUGCAGGUGGCAGGAAGCAGUCAGGGUGUGGAUAUAUUCUGAAGGCAGAACCAACAACAUUUCCUAGUGGACACAGGUGUUGAGCUUGAAUAACUAGAAGGAUGGAACUGACAUCAACUGAAAUAGGAAAGACAUUGGAUAAAACCGUCUGAGGGUAGGUGUGGGGAAGUAGUCAGAACUGGAGUUUGAACACGUUAAGUGUGAGAGGUUGAUAGCUGAUGACACCCCAAAUGAAGAAUACUGAGUUGGGGGUUCAAUACAAGUCUGGAAUUUAGGAGAGAGGGUGACACCAUAGCGAGCAAUAUGGCCGUUGUCACUGAACAUCCCAGCCAUGUUGUUACAUCCGACCAUGAUGUAAUAAACAAUUGGUGUAGAUAACAGAUGAAGGCAGUCCUAGGACUGAACUGCUGGGCCCCAGACAUGAUAAGCCCGGGAUAAGAAAAAUGUAACAGAGAUUAAGGAGGAGUGGCUGGUGAAACAGGAAGAAAACCAGGAGAUGGUGGGGUCUGAGAAGCCAAGGAAAAUGAGUGCUUCAAGAAGCAGUGAACAUCUAUGUCACGGGCGAGAUCCAAUGGACAACAAAGCAAAGGUUUCCCCUACCUGCUGUUUCUUGCCCAUGGCAAGUGUUCAGCUCAGCCAGAAGCUGGUUAAAAUCAUCCUGAUGAGCAAUCCAGUUAUCCUGAAAAUACCCAAAAAAUCAAACAAAGGUCUGGGAUAGGACCAGAAAUUCUGCACUUCUAACAAGCUUCCAAGGAUGUGGGUGCCGAUGAUCCACAGACCUUCCUUUGUGCAGCAGGCCAUUAAACAACCAAAGCACCUUGGGCUUCAAAAAAUAAUGGUGCCACUCAAUGCCCUGAUUCCUUCUCUACAACAUGGAUGGACCCUGCCCAAAGAGCCUCCUGGGAACAAUCAGAUGGACACCAAUUCACUUAAAAAAUCCUUGGAGAAAUAACCCACUUAUCUGGAAAUCUCCUCACCUUUUAAGACCACACACAAAAGUAACAACAACAAAACCUACAGAAAGAAGACACAGAAGUUCUCAGGCCAACCAGAAAAGACAUCUCAAAGUGUUUAUAGGGAGGCUCCCAUUCCAUGGAAGUCUCCAAGAACUCAUACUGUACAGGUCAUGCUCAGGGUGACCUGUGGGAAACAGGCAUCAUUUUUCCUGGGGAUACCUUAUUGCAUAAAUGGUCACUAAAUUUGUAAGUGCCCUAAAACCUCCCACACUCUCUUAGCCUCUCUGGCCAUCUGCAAGAAAACAAAAAUGCCAAGACUGCCUUCAUCCCAGCUGGUCCUUGAUGGGUGCUCUGAGCUACCUGGCCUUUAUGAGCUGUUGGGAAAGGACAUGAGUGAAGCCUGGAUCUUGAAGAAGAGUGGGACCAAAUAUCCAAGCCCAUACCCCCUGCCCCCAGCUGUACCCCUACUGACCAUGAAACCCUGUGCAAUCAUGGAGGUUCUCUGAGCCUCAGUUUCCCCAUUUGUAAAAUGGGGCAGAGUUUCUUGCCUUGUGAGAUUCUUGCAAAGACUUAGUUGAGAUCACUGUAUGAAGGCAUCUGGGACAGAGCCUAUAAAUCACUGGCACUCAGUCAGUGUUAGCCGAGUCUCAGUUCUCCUGUCCCCCACAAAGGGCUCUGCUCCAUCAUGGCUGAUGUCACCUGCCACAGGCUACAUUGGACUUACUCUGACACCCCUACAUUCCUGAGACUCCAGUAAUCCUAAAUACUUUUUUCCUCUAAAGAAACUGCCCCGUUUCCCCAUGAGAGGAAACACAACAUCUCUAAAGGGACUUUUUCUUCAGAAUCAGCCAGCCUGAGAGAGCUUGGGGCUAUACCUGAUUUUUCUGGCCCUGGCAUCUGGGACUCUAUACCUGUCCCCUGCAGGGUCUCAGGUACCAAUCAAUGGCAAGAACCCAGCUAACAAAGGGUCAGCCGACAUACCACAACAGGACCCUUCCACUCUGAUGGGGAAGGUUUUCGUCAACAAAGGUUCUGUCUGUGCUGCUGCUGAAUUGUCAGGCUUCAUGAUAGACACAUUCCCUGGGUCUAGAUUUAUGGUUGCAACUCAAUAAUGCCACCUUUGCAGCUGUGGCCUCAGAGGUGGCCCACCCCUUCCCAGAAAGGCAGGUUGUCAUAACCCCAAAAUAGGUAUUGGACACUCUGCUUCGGCCCUGGUGAAGGAGCAAGGGAUCUAGAACACUUCCACCCUCUAUCCCCUCUUCAUUUUGCCCUGAGCUCUGACCCUAAUGGAAGACCUGCAGCCUCUGGGUCCCUGAAGCCAUCUCAGGGCCUGAGAACCAGUGGGCCGGCCAGAGAAGAGUGGGCUCAUGGGGCUGGACCUUGGCAACCUCUGAGAAGCCCCUACCAGCUCCCCAGCCACUUUUUGGGAAGGGCCAGGAGUUGGAAAAUCACAUGGUGUUCUGGAAGUGAUUCCCUUGAUAUUUUCUGAGCUGUAAAGACAAGCCGGCUUCUGGGAAAGACUCCUGGGUCUGUAGGCCUAAAGUUCUCCAGAAUGCUACCUUUUCAGGAGCAGAAAGAAUGAGUGAUACAUUCCUGGGAUGGAUCGUAGCAGGUAUGACCUAUGGAACAGGACAAAAGCAAAUGAACAGCACUUCAUUAAGAUCCCCUGAGUAGCUAAGAGUAUGUGUAGGGUGGGGGAGGAGUCGAGGAAUGAGGCCAACAGAGAAAAUGCAUUCGUGUCAAAGGACCGACUUCCUUUUUCAAUCCAAAGGAAUUCCAUCUAAGCUCCCACCAGCCAGAGAACUGAAGCGUGUUGUGCUGGAGCAGUUUAGGCAGUGUCGGAAUUAAUCUUUUAAAAACUGUCUCGGAUGGCUCGGCCACCUUGUGCGAGAUUCGUAAACCGUGUGCAAAACUCAGACUUGUGCAGGCAACCAGAGAAGGUAAGAACCUGUCUUCUGCACGCAGGGCUUCCCCUGCCUGAUUUGUGCUUUGUCUAACCCCAGGAUCUCUCUUCUUCCCAGUGGCUCUUUUUAAAGCCUGGUGAAGGCAGGCGAGGCCAAAUUGGCUACAGGGUAGAACCCGCUAUUCUCCCUCUUGGUGAGCUGCUGAACAUCUAUUUCAAAUACCUCUAGAGGAUGGACAGCCUGAGGGCUGAGUUCCCGAAUGCUUUUGAUGCUGGGCUCUUGAAGAUUCUCUCUAUGUCUGACUUUCAGAAUGAAAGCAGAUGCAGUAACCCCACCCAGGCACAUUGCAGUCACUGGCUGGCAAGGGAGGAGGGGUAUUAGCAAAAAGUAGUGCAAAGGUAGGGAGGUGGGAUUUGGCACUAGGUAGAGCACGUAGAGUCAGUGGGAAGGAGGCAUUGGCAUAAAGCGAAGGUAGAAAAUAUUCACCCUCUGGGGAUAGGUUACUCCGUAUAGAUGACCACAAAUAUGGAACAAAAACACCUGGGUCAAAUCCUUCCCAGAGUAUGCCAGCUCCCUGCCAGGGUCUGUAUUCAGGACCAAGGUGUAGGUGCUGAUUUAGCUGAAGGUCCCUGUCAUUCCCCCAGCCCCCAAUCCCAGAGGUCACAUGCUCAUUGUCCCACUUAAGCCAAAUUUUUUUUUCUUGCCUUAAGCCAACACAUCCCCAAAACAUAUCCUAUAAAAGUAGAUUUCAUAAAGAAGAUAAAUAUUUUGAAUCAAGAAGAGGAUGAAAACAAGUUGUAAACAUGUAACUGAAACAUAAAAAUACACAUCAGUUCACUUACAGAACCAAACAGGGUUACAUCGAAUCAUUUAAAAUGAAAGCAAAGGAAAACUCUUCUCGGGAGCUCUUAAAUUUAGGAAAAGAAUCACUGUAGCAUGCUCACCUUGAACCAGGGAUUGGAUAUUGUGGUUCUUGUACAAAGGAAAAUCUGGGAGGGAGGUGGAGGUCCGAGGUGAAGGAGGGAGGAAGAUUGCAUAGUUGUGAAACAGUGGCUUCUCAUCAAGGUGAACAAGUGCGUCCUCUGAUAAAAUAGCGUUUGAUUUUUUUUUUUCUGUUCAUUUCUGUUCACGGUAUUUUUCUCUGUCCACCAAACAUGUCAUACACUGACACAUAUAUACACUACACACACACAUGCGAGCGCUAAACACCUGAAUUACACAGCCAUACUUGAAAACGCCCCCGCCCCACUCGUUCUGCGCAAAGUUCCUAUUUGCUUUUGCUACAUCCUGACCCGUUUCUUGUCAAAACUCCUGUUUCGGAUUGUUUCUUUAGCAAAAGGGAUUGAGAGGGGGUAGGGGGGCGGCGGGGGGGGCCUUCGAGGAAAGCACCGGAAAUGGUUCUAUUCUCUCACUGAAUUUCUGUGGCAAUGCCUCGCAUUUUGGUUAGGGGCUCACUAGUUUUUAAGAGAUAGGAAACAACUGCCUCUUUUUUUUUUUUUUUUUAAGCUUUCUUGAGGUAAACAUUAUUUGCUAACACCUUAGGCAGCAGACACGUUUUAUAGUGCUGUUGAGAAACUUUGCAAAAAGGAGGAAACACCACCAAAGUGUAACAUCGAUGCUUAAGAACAUUUAGAAAGCAAGUCCCCGUUUUAACUCAUUUCCCCUUCCUCUCAUUCGGCCAACUCCUUCUAGUAACAUAUAGAGCAGAACAAAGCUGAUUAAUUGUCUAUAUCAUACUGGGCAUCCCAUAUCCCAACCCACGGUAAACCUCUCUUGCUCACAUACUAAAAAUUGUGAGUCAACUGAAAAAUUAAAAUAGAGAUGAACACACUUUACAUUUUUUCAUCCUUUCUAUCUGCCUCAAGCAUAUAUAUAUAUAUAUAUAUAUAUAUAUAUAUAUAUAUACACAUAUAUAUAUGAUAGUUUACAUUAAUAUAGGAAAUAGCAGAGGUUUUUAGUUACAUUUUAUACAGAAUCACUGCAUCUUAUCCUUAUUUUCUAUGCCCUCUCUCUUUUUGGAUAAACAAUUGGCUAUAACAAUCUAUAGUAAGGCUUCACAGAAAGAAUUCUGCAUGUUUUGUUUUUCUCUAAGAACCAAGGUUUGUAAAAUGAGGUUUGAUUCUAGCACCUUAUGCAGUAUUAGUGAUGUUGUUCCCUUGGGAGAAAUUAGCAGUACCCAACACCUCAGGUGAAUCUCUAUCGGUUACGCAGUUCUCAAAGGCAUUGCCAAAGGGAGGACGCUCGACACGGCAGAGAUGCAGGGGCAAGUAGGGACAAAACAAAACCCCAGGAUUAAAGUCUUAGCAUCGUACAAAUAAAAUCUUAAAACCGUGUCAAGUUGCUGUCUCCAAAUUAAUAAUGACUUAGUGUUUCAGGGCCACCAAUGAAUCCCUUUAGGUUAUCCUUCCCCAUGAGGUAAGGAAAUAUACUAUGAUGUCCAUUUUAAAUGGAGACUGAGUCUGGGAGACCGUACACAGGUCACAGAGGAAACUGGGUAAGAAACAGGGUGGGGGGAUGCCCAGCCUCUCGCCUCUUACUACCAGACUGUUCCUUGUCACCUCUAACUGGUGACUUGAGAUUUUGGAAAAGCAGCUUAUUGGCCACUGAUGAGGAAGCAAAACAAACAAACAGUUUUUGUUUUUGUUUUUUUUUAAAUAUCAGCACCAAAGGAAGUUCAAAAGAAGCUGCUCUUUGCUCCCUUAUCAAACAUCCCAUAUUACGGAGACAGCAACUUUCACAAGAAGGGAAAAGAAAAUUAGUCACAGGAGUAACCCAUCUCUUUUGUGGGUGCCCUUCCCCAAAGUCAAACGCUCCACAGCGCUGUUAGUUUCAGUUGAGUAGCAUCGAUUUUUGCAGAGGAAUGAUCAACUCCCACCAAAGCUGCAUCAGAACCUCAAUUAUAUAAUUAUAUAACUAUAGUGAUAUCUCUAUCUCUAUAUCUAUUUAUAUAUGUAUACAUUAAAGUCUUUUACUGCACUGGCACGUGAUACCAAGGUAA